UCAGUUCAGAUCGUAGGCUGCAACUCGCCUACGCGAAGGAGGAAUCGCUAGUAAUCGCAGGUCAGCAUACUGCGGUGAAUACGUUCCCGGGCCUUGUACACACCGCCCGUCACACCAUGGAAGUUGGCCACGCCCGAAGUCGUUACUCCAACCCUCUGGGAGGAGGACGCCGAAGGUGGGGCUGAUGACUGGGGUGAAGUCGUAACAAGGUAGCCGUACCGGAAGGUGCGGCUGGAUCACCUCCUAA
rnacentral:rRNA from 1 species